rnacentral:rRNA from 1 species
UACGGGGGGGGCAAUCGUUGUUCGGAAUUACUGGGCGUAAAGGGCUCGUAGGCGGCCAACUAAGUCAGACGUGAAAUCCCUCGGCUUAACCGGGGAACUGCGUCUGAUACUGGAUGGCUUGAGAUUGGGAGAGGGAUGCGGAAUUCCAGGUGUAGCGGUGAAAUGCGUAGAUAUCUGGAGGAACACCAAUGGCGAAGGCAGCUCGCUGGGACGUGACUGACGCUGAGACGCGAAAGCGUGGGGAGCAAACAGG